AUUUUUAAGGAAGCAGCCAUCCUUUUAUUCAUCUUAAAAUCUUAUUUUCAAACUUGUAAAAUAUUUGGGUGAAUGAACUUGGGUUUACCCAACAAAUUCUGAUUCUAUGAACUUUCCUAAGUCCCAAGGGGCUCUAUUUCCUGCAUAAUGGAACUCAUUACUCCAAAAGGAACUCUAAAUAGAAAAUGCAGCAUCAAGAAUGGUAUAUCAAAGACAAUAAAUUGACAGCUAAAUAUUUUUGUUUAGGAACUGCCUGUUGUUAGAAAUCAAGAUCUUCUGCAAUAGCAGUUGAUAUUGAUAUCAUUAUCUGUUAAAUUGUAGGAUGUCUUCCUUCCCUCCUUCCCUACUUCUUUCCCUCCCGCUCUGUAUCCCUCCCUCCCUCCUUUCUUCUUUCCUUCCUUUUUUGGUGGUACUGGGGUUUGAACUUAGGGCACUUUACUACUUGAACCAGAGCUCUGUUUUUAAUUCUUUUUGCAAUCUAACUUUGCACCCUUCCAGCCUUUCUUUAAAAUUACUGUUUGUUUUUCUGUGAUUAAGUCAAUAUUACCUUUUAAAUAUUUCAGGCUAUCUGCUCAGUUAGGUCUCAACUUUUGAAUUUUUUGCCCUUAAUUUGACUGAUUACUGCCAAACAAAGGGCUCAUGGAUGAAUUAGAAUUACUAGAAUAACAUGUUAUUAGGAAAACUAAGAUGUUACUGUAGAAGGCAUGUACGUCAAAGAGUCCUAGACUUGUAGUUCUGAAGUAGCUAUUGAGGAAGAAAGUGCAAGAGUGAUGAAAUGACUUUUUUCAUAAUACAGAGCUGAAAAUGAAUUGCAUAUAUACUGAUUUACCUGCCCAGUUCUUUUCCUGUUAAAUCACUUCAUUUUAAAUUGCGAAGAUUGGAUUUAAAAAGUGAAUUGGAUAAAAUUCUUUUUUUCUCUUUUGGCACUGGGGUUUGAACUCAGGCCUCACACUUGCAAGGCAGGCACUCUUACCACUUGAGCCACUCCGUCAGCCCUGGGGUCAAAUUCUUAAAGUAGCUAAACUCAAACUCAGUCUUGAAUAAGUACUCUCUGAUAUAGAUCAAGCUUGAGGACAUGUAUUUAAAAAAAAAAAAAAUCUGUCCUCUGCUGGUUGAAAACAAAAGGGAAACUGCAUUUAUUUAUUUGAUUGCAUUGUUAAAUGCUUGCAAAGGCAGUGUAUGUAAAAAUGAAAGUUGACUUCAAGCAAAUUAAUUUUAAUGUUCAGUGAGUUAUUAGCCCACAAACUGUGAAUGGGUUUAAAUCUUUUAUGUUAAUAAAAAUAUAACUUGGUAAAUUACAUCACCAACUAGGUCUAAUAGUAUGCUAAAGCUAAACUUUUUCUAAUGCAGUUCUAGAAUGACUGGAUAGUGAAAUUACAUUUUGACAUCUCAAUAGUAAGAGCCUUUCCCAAAGGUUCUUUAAUGACAUUAGCCAUUAUUUAUUAAUCCAGGAGAGUACGAUGUUUACUUUUUCAUGUGUGUUACUAAAGUUGCAGUUUUUACAUAUUUUUUUCUUGGUAUUUAUUGUCCAUUUUAUCAUUUGGAGAAAACAUGUUACUAUCACCACAAAAUUGCCGAGGAGCCCAUUAGGUAUGUGAGACUGUUCAGAGGACAGUCAGAAACAUACAGUCCUAAACUACACUGUUUUAGAGGUAACAAGAGAAUACUGAAUACUUCUUUUCUUGCCUUGUAAAUGGUGUAACAGGAUAUUUAAUAAGAAUAUUUGUGUCUGCUUUAAACUUUAGUUCAGAGAAAGUUAAUGUGACUGAUAAUUUGUCAAGUAGCAAGAGAACAAAUAGGUUAGCUUGAACUACUGGCCUCUAUAAAUAGGGAAAUAGAGCUAGAAGAAAACAUUUAAGAUCUGAGGGUAUUGCUAGUUCUUUUAAUUCUCACCAUUAACCCUACGAGAGGUAUCAUUAUCUAAGUUUUAUAGAUGAGGAAAUUGAGGAUGUGAUAGGCUCAUUUGUUCCUGUGUCAUGAACUUUUUUUUUAGCCCUUUAUCUUUCUAAGCAUCUACUACAGUUUUCUUCUAAGAGAUCUUAAAGUCUUUCUUAUGGACCACAUUUCUUAAAUUUUUCCCACUUUCCCCUCCAGGCAUUAGCUGGCUGAAGUUUAAGGUAUUUGCCUCCUGGGGAUCUUGCUAAUUUAGUUUGGACUGCCAAAAUGGUUCCAGCAGACCUGAAUUUGGAAGAUUUGCACAGCAGUAUGAAAAGGUCUUUCACUACCAUUCCUACAGUGGUUGGCAAGAUAUCGUUUCUACCUCCCUCUCCAUGUACCAUGCCAGUGACAUCUUAGCUGCUAGAGUGUGGAGCUGGCCUGUGGGAGUCAAGUAUUGGUGACGUGACCUGUUCACACAGGGGAAACUUGAACAUUCGCAGGUAUGUGAAGAUCAUGAUUCAUAAGCAUUUUCCCCCGCAAACAAAACAGUUUAUUUUAGUGUGAACUUGUGAUGUGGCUUACAAAAUCUUAUCUUUCCAGUUGACUUUCCUGCCCCAUUAUUAUAGCACAGGGAUUGUCAGUCUGUAUAUAGCCUGAAUUUGUUGCUUGUUUUUGUAAAUAAAAGUUUAUCCAAAUACGGACCAUUCAUUUAUAUAUUGUCAACAGAAUUGAGUUGUUGCCACAGAGACCAUUUGGUUCAAAAAAAUCUAAAAUAUUUAUUAUCUGACUCUUUAUAAAAAGUUUAUAAAAAGUCAACUCCUACUGUAGAAGAGCCAAACUUCAAAUUUUAUUUGGAUAUAAACUUGCUAAAACCAUAGUUGAGCUGGAGGCGUGAAGCCCUGAGUUCAAACCCCAGUACCGUAAAAAUAAAAUAAACAAAAAUCACAAUUGAUUUUAAAUAAGCUUCUGAGGAUAAAACCAAGAAAGCCUAGACCUAUGCAAAAAUAAUGCCGACUAGUAAGUAAAUAUUUGCAAUAUAUGUAGUGAUAUGAUUAUUAACAUAAAGUUAAUGAAAUGGAAAGCUGUGCUGGCAGUCCAGUGUUUUCUUUUAUUCAUUAUAUUCUCUCUUUCUGUUUCUCUCUGCUUAUGCACUCAUUUGGUGACAGGAUGUUAUUUUUUUAGAUUCUCUAAAAGAUUUUAUGAACAGGUAAGGAUAAAAGAUUUAACUAUGAUGUCUAGCAUAGCCAAAAAGUGAUAAUGACAGUACCUCUUGAUCCAUGGAAGAAUCAUUAUAGUUAAAAUAGACUUGAAAUGAUGAGUUGAAUACUAGAGAUGUUUGAGGACACAGUGCAAAUUAGUGGUGGGGCUGAAACUAGAGGUUAGGUCUCCUGCCUCCUUGUCCAGGGUCCCUUCCUCUAGGUCUGCUAGUAGCUGAAAGGCAUCUGUUUCUUUUUGUUUACUCCCCCUGAAGUAUACGCAAAAACUUGAUGGUUCAAACUACAAAGAUGUGAUUUUUAGAAUAUUAACCUCACUUGAAAUUUGUUUUUUGUUUUGUUUUGUCGUUGUUAUUUGAAGAUUACUGAAGGAUUGCGUCUUAAGGAAUCAUUGUUUAUAUAUACAACUCAGAAAGGUUAGAUUAGAUGGAAUAAAAAAGGAAGCCCAACCCUUGUUCAUAAUUGUAUAGCUAAGUGCAAAACCAAAAUUGGCGUAGGUAGAAUGCUUUCCUUACAUGUCUGUGUAUCUAAAUCUAAGCUCAUAGACAGAAAGUGUGUGUGUGUGUGUGUCUGUGUCUGUCUGUCUAAUAGCUCUUAGCAUGUGCAUUAGAAUCUGCAGAUUAUGUUGCAUAGUUUUAAAUGGACAUUUAAAAAUGUUGUUUUAGAACUGUUUUACUUACAAAUAAGUAGUGAAGAUAGUACACUGAAUUCCCGUAUAUCACCCCUUCCUGCCUUCCCUGUUAUUAAUAUCUUACAUUACUAUGGCACAUUUGUUGCAAUUAAUCAACCAAUCUUCAUCUACCACUCUUAACUAAAGCCCAUAUUUUACUCAGAUUCCCAAUGUUUUUGUCUUUUUCUGUUCUAGGAUUAAAUGACUCUCUUUCUGUCUCUCUUUGUCUCUCUCUCUCUCUGUCUUUCUCUCUAUAUAUAUAUCAGUACUGGGGAUUGAUAAAUUAAGUUUUAUUAGCAUGUUUAUUGAGGUGGAAGGCAUUUAUGUGAUCGCCUAUAGUUGGACAAGGUCUGAAGUCCCUUAUAGUUUCUAAUAUUCUGAUAAAAAAGAUACUACAGAGUUCUGACUUGCAACAUUUAUAUCUCCCCGUAACAUGUCCAAGAUCUUGUUACCUUACCUUAUUGAUAUUAGUGACUCUUGAAUUGUUUCUUAAUUUUUACAUUAGCUCUAAAAAAGACAAAUUUGAAGCAUCAUAUGCUAAAUUGCUGGUGAAAAUAUUCUAAAGUGAAUUGCCUCCUUUGGGAACCAUGUGGAUCAGCUGUCUACUUCAGGGUGCUUUUCUUCCUGAAAAUGCCUUUUGAAAUUAGCACCUUUUUAUGAAUCAAUGAUUGUUCAUAUAUAAAGACCUUUACAAAAAAGUUCUUUAAUUCUCUUCUAAAGUUGAACAAAUGCAUGUCCUUUGACUUAGCACUUCCACUCUUAUAUUUAUGCACAACAGAACUGUGUGCAUAUACAGUAAACCACUGGUAUCCGUGGGAAACAUGGUGCCAAAGAGACUGUUGUUGAGGAAAAACUACAAUUACUCAGGGUGCGUAGAGCCAGUGCUGUAUUAUGGAUGCAUGAUUCAUUUUUCCAUAAUGUCAUCCAACUUCUGCUAAACA